rnacentral:lncRNA from 1 species
AGAUCCACCCCUGCCCGCAAAACAUUGCUCUUAACUUCACCGCCUAUCCCAAAACCUAUAAGAACUAAUGAUAAUCCACCACCCUUCACUGACUCUCUUUUCGGACUCAGCCUGCCUGCACCCAGGUGAAAUAAACAGCCAUGUUGUUCACACAAAGCCUGUUUGGUGGUCUCUUCACACGGACACGCAUGAAAUUUGGUGCCGUGACUCGGAUCGGGGGACCUCCCUUGGGAGAUCAAUCCCCCGUCUUCCUGCUCUUUGCUCCAUGAGAAAGAUCCACCUACGACCUCAGGUCCUCACACCGACCAGCCCAAGAAACAUCUCACCAAUUUCAAAUCCAAUCUUCUCGGCUUAGCGGCUGAAGACUGACACUGCCAGAUCGCCUCGGAAGCCCCCUAGACCAUCACGGAUGCCGAGCUUCGGGUAACUCUCACAGUGGAGGACAACUUCCAUCUUCACCAUGAGCUGGGAGGCAGGAGGAUAAUCUGGCUUCAGGAAGGAAGAAAAUGUUUGUAGUUCUGGGAACUCCAGCUCAUUUUUACCACUGCCUGACAGCCUCCACAGCAGGGUUUGUUUGAACCCCAAGGGAAAGGAUAUCUCAGCAGCUUCAGGGAGUGACUGCGUACUUUGGUGAAAAGCCCCAGCGAGCUCUUGGUUUAAGCUAAAAGGUCCAGCACGCCCACUACAAAAUCCUUGCAUUGCAUAGAUAACUUCCUGUAAUCGUUCUAACAGAAUAGAGAGAAAUCAGCGGUAUGUCACAUGGAGGCCCGCAGAUUGGCUUGCCCAGCAUAGCAGUGUCGAUCAGCAACUGCUCACCACAUGUGACCUUAUGGAGCACAUUGGAUGCACUUAUGGAACGCAGCAGGAUGUGCUGGGUGCAGAAGGCGGGGCAAUUUCUCUUGACACGUGACCUGAAGGACAUUUUCUCUAGGUCAGCAUGUGUGAAGGUGUGGUCCAUGGGCCACCUGCAUCAGAGUCACCUUAGCUGCGUGCUAAAGUUGCAGAUUCCCAGGUCCCACCCUAGACUUACUGAGUCAGAAUACCUG